rnacentral:rRNA from 1 species
UACUANGUAAAUCUGCUCANGGAUAUAUUUAAAUAGCCGCACCCGUGCUAAGGUAGCAUAAUCAUUUGUCUUUUAAAUGAAGACUAGAACAAACGAUUUAACAUUUUAAUUAUUAUUAAUAAUAUAUUAUUUUAAAUUUAUGAAAAAGUAAAAAAUCUUUUAAAUAAAAGAAAGACGACAAGACCCUAUUGAACUUAACUUUAGUUUUACUGGGGCAGUAAAUUAAUUAUUAUUUUAAUCCAAUUUUCUAAAAAAAUAUCUAAAAUUUUUAAAUAAAUCAGUUACCAUAGGGAUAACAGCAUAAUAAAAUUUUAAAGACCUCAUACAAAAUUAUGAUUAUGACCUCGAUGUUGAAUUAAUAACCUAAUUUAAAGCAAAAAUUAAUAUAGGAAGUCUGUUCGACUUUUAAAAAAUUACAUGAUCUGAGCAAAACCCNGGGNGA